UACGGGGGGGGCAAGCGUUGUUCGGAAUUACUGGGCGUAAAGGGUUCGUAGGCGGCCAACUAAGUCGGAUGUGAAAUCCCCAGGCUUAACCUGGGAACUGCAUCCGAUACUGGAUGGCUUGAAUCCGGGAGAGGGAUGCAGAAUUCCAGGUGUAGCGGUGAAAUGCGUAGAUAUCUGGAGGAAUACCGGUGGCGAAGGCGGCAUCCUGGACCGGCAUUGACGCUGAGUGAGCGAAAGCCAGGGGAGCAAACGGG
rnacentral:rRNA from 1 species